rnacentral:snRNA from 1 species
GGAUGUGAGGGCGAUCUGGCUGCGACAUCUGUCACCCCAUUGAUCGCCAGGGUUGAUUCGGCUGAUCUGGCUGGCUAGGCGGGUGUCCCCUUCCUCCCUCACCGCUCCAUGUGCGUCCCUCCCGAAGCUGCGCGCUCGGUCGAAGAGGACGACCUUCCCCGAAAGAGGAGGACCGUUCUUCGGUCAAGGGUAUACGAGUAGCUGCGCUCCCCUGCUAGAACCUCCAAACAAGCUCUCAAGGUCCAAAAUUAUUAUUUUAACAUUCAGUGAUUUUAUUUACAUUCAUUAUUUAAAGAAGUUUUAAAGAU